CACAGGUUACCCUGGGAGAGAUCAUACUUGGGAACUGCCAUUCCAGUAACCCUGGAAAAAAGCAGAAAUAAUGUGGAGGAGACUUAACGGAUUGUUGAGUAUUUAUAGAGCACGCCCAUGGCGAAGAGUUGCCAGUUUUUUCAUUCAGCUUUAAGAUGCAUCAUGUGGUAAGGCUUCCAAGGUGGAGGUUAACUUCUAAUUUUGUUGGCCUAACAGAUUGUUGUAUUUGCUCAUCUCCACUAGAGAGCUAAUACCCAUUUUUGACCUUCCAUAGCCUUAGUGUAUAGGUAUACGAAAUCUAGGAGAUAAAUGUAACUAAUGUUAGCCUUAUCUACCUUCAACCUUAUUUCUGGAGUUCGAUUCCCUUGAAUUUGUGUAUAGUACAACGUGAACUUCUCUUAUUAUUGUGAAAGCAAUGUCAUAAAAGCAUCUAGGGAUCAAAUAUGACAUUGAGCUAACCGUACUUUGUAUUUGUUCUUUGUAUGUGUAUUAGUAUAUUUCACAAGUAUACUUUAAUGAAGGAGCAGAUG
rnacentral:lncRNA from 1 species